rnacentral:rRNA from 1 species
CAGGGAAUCUUGCGCAAUGGGCGAAAGCCUGACGCAGCAACGCCGCGUGGGGGAUGAAGGCCUUCGGGUUGUAAACCCCUGUUGCGGGGGACGAUCGUGACGGUACCCCGCGAGGAAGCCACGGCUAACUACGUGCCAGCAGCCGCGGUAAUACGUAGGUGGCGAGCGUUGUCCGGAUUUACUGGGCGUAAAGCGCACGUAGGCGGUCUGCUAAGUCCGGGGUGACAUCUCCCGGCUCAACCGGCAGGG